GCGAAAUGCGAUAAGUAGUGUGAAUUGCAGAAUUCAGUGAAUCAUCGAAUCUUUGAACGCACAUUGCGCCCCUUGGUAUUCCAUGGGGCAUGCCUGUUCGAGCGUCAUUUGUACCCUCAAGCUCUGCUUGGUGUUGGGUGUUUGUCCCGUCUCCGCGCGUGGACUCGCCCCAAAGUGAUUGGCAGCCGGCGUACUGGUCCCGGAGCGCAGCACAUGUCGCGCAAACGAGUGCCUUGGUACGGCGGCGUCCAUAAGCCCCUCUCUCACGCUCUUGACCUCGGAUCAGGUAGGGAUACCCGCUGAACUUAA
rnacentral:misc_RNA from 1 species